rnacentral:rRNA from 1 species
AUUGAACGCUGGCGGCAUGCUUUACACAUGCAAGUCGAACGGUAACAGACCGCAAGGUGCUGACGAGUGGCGAACGGGUGAGUAAUGCAUCGGAACGUGCCCAGUCGUGGGGGAUAACGCAGCGAAAGCUGUGCUAAUACCGCAUACGAUCUGUGGAUGAAAGCGGGGGACCGUAAGGCCUCGCGCGAUUGGAGCGGCCGAUGUCAGAUUAGGUAGUUGGUGGGGUAAAGGCCUACCAAGCCGACGAUCUGUAGCUGGUCUGAGAGGACGACCGGCCACACUGGGACUGAGACACGGCCCAGACUCCUACGGGAGGCAGCAGUGGGGAAUUUUGGACAAUGGGCGCAAGCCUGAUCCAGCAAUGCCGCGUGCAGGAAGAAGGCCUUCGGGUUGUAAACUGCUUUUGUACGGAACGAAACGGUCUGGGUUAAUACCCUGGGCUAAUGACGGUACCGUAAGAAUAAGCACCGGCUAACUACGUGCCAGCCGCCGCCGUAACAC